GGGUGCAAGCGUUACUCGGAAUUACUGGGCGUAAAGCGUGCGUAGGUGGUUUGUUAAGUCUGAUGUGAAAGCCCCGGGCUCAACCUGGGAAUGGCAAUGGAUACUGGCAAGCUAGAGUGCGGUAGAGGGUAGUGGAAUUCCCGGUGUAGCGGUGAAAUGCGUAGAGAUCGGGAGGAACACCAGUGGCGAAGGCGGCUACCUGGACCAGCACUGACACUGAGGCACGAAAGCGUGGGGAGCAAACAGG
rnacentral:rRNA from 1 species